UAGCAUUCACCAAGGAUGAACUGAAAGCAGGAUCUGUCUCACCAUACACUGAGAACUGUAGAAUAUGCAAGGCACAUGGAACUUAUUUUCUUACGUAUAAAAGCGUGUAUAUGCUCCUUAUACAUCUGUCCUAAUGCUUUCCAACAGUCCUCACUCUAAGCCUCACCAAGACCCAGAUGAGGAAACAAAGGCACAGAGGGAUAAACUCAGAGCAGGAAGACAGCAAGGAAUAGCAGUGAAAAGCAUGGUGCUUAAUCCAACCCCUUACUCACUGCUGAGACCUGGAAAUGUGUUCAUCAGCUACAAAACAGGAGAGAUGAUAACUCAUUAUGUAUAUGUGAUGAUAAACAGAGACAAUAUAUUGAAGAGCUUAUAUGAGUGGCAGACACGGGACAUGCUUCCCUGUGGCUGGCCAGCGUGUCAUCUUCUCCAUGUGUCCAGAGAAAAGCUUUGCAAAUCAACCUCUCGAUGAAUGAUGACGGCACCAGUGAAAUCAGGGGAGGCAGAAAAUCAUGUUAGUUUGGUUUAUAAUGCAAGAAGUUACAGAACACAGAGUGCUCAAAACUAAGAAUGUGCUAGUUGUAUAACAGGGUCCUUCUUGGGACUCAGCCAGGAUUCAAACUAUAAAGGAAAAUCGGGUGAGCAGGUGGGAUAGUCAAGUGAUUCUAUUUGCAUGAAUAAU
rnacentral:lncRNA from 1 species